rnacentral:rRNA from 2 species
UGGAGAGUUUGAUCCUGGCUCAGGACGAACGCUGGCGGCGUGCUUAACACAUGCAAGUCGAACGGAAAGGCCCUUUCGGGGGUACUCGAGUGGCGAACGGGUGAGUAACACGUGGGUGAUCUGCCCUGCACUUUGGGAUAAGCCUGGGAAACUGGGUCUAAUACCGAAUAUUUCCUUUUGGUCGCAUGGCUGGGAGGGGAAAGCUUUUGCGGUGUGGGAUGGGCCCGCGGCCUAUCAGCUUGUUGGUGAGGUUAUGGCUUACCAAGGCGACGACGGGUAGCCGGCCUGAGAGGGUGACCGGCCACACUGGGACUGAGAUACGGCCCAGACUCCUACGGGAGGCAGCAGUGGGGAAUAUUGCACAAUGGGCGCAAGCCUGAUGCAGCGACGCCGCGUGGGGGAUGACGGCCUUCGGGUUGUAAACCUCUUUCAAUAGGGACGAAGCGUAAGUGACGGUACCUAUAGAAGAAGGACCGGCCAACUACGUGCCAGCAGCCGCGGUA